UUUGUUGCAUAGCUACAGCUCACUUCAUCAUCCUAGGUAUGCCACAGCUUCCCCCCCACACACCUCUCCAUUUGAAACUCCAAAUAUAUGCCUAAAGUGUCCCCUCUUCUUUCUCCUUGUGCAGAUGUCCUGGCUCUCAACAAAGGCACCAGACAGGAUUGUUUUUUCUCUUGCAUAAGCACUUCCUGAUGUCCACUACACUCUUUUCUCAAUCUUCUCCAGUCUUUUGCAAACUGUGAUGUUCAGAUGUCCUAUAAGCCUGACUUCCUGAUGUCCACUACACUCCGUUCUCAACCUUCUCCGGUCUUCUGCAAACUGUGAAUGCCUCCUUGUGUUGGAUUCAUGAUGUUCACCAUACUGCACGGCCUACUUUUUUUCUUCGCAAGCUAUGGAAAGAAACUCUGUUCAGCUCA